GACGAACGCUGGCGGCGUGCUUAACACAUGCAAGUCGAACGGAAAGGCCCUGCUUUUGUGGGGUGCUCGAGUGGCGAACGGGUGAGUAACACGUGAGUAACCUGCCCUUGACUUUGGGAUAACUUCAGGAAACUGGGGCUAAUACCGGAUAGGAGCUCCUGCUGCAUGGUGGGGGUUGGAAAGUUUCGGCGGUUGGAGAUGGACUCGCGGCUUAUCAGCUUGUUGGUGGGGUAGUGGCUUACCAAGGCUUUGACGGGUAGCCGGCCUGAGAGGGUGACCGGCCACAUUGGGACUGAGAUACGGCCCAGACUCCUACGGGAGGCAGCAGUGGGGAAUAUUGCACAAUGGGCGGAAGCCUGAUGCAGCAACGCCGCGUGCGGGAUGACGGCCUUCGGGUUGUAAACCGCUUUCGCCUGUGACGAAGCGUGAGUGACGGUAAUGGGUAAAGAAGCACCGGCUAACUACGU
rnacentral:rRNA from 1 species